rnacentral:rRNA from 1 species
UACGUAGGGGGCAAGCGUUGUCCGGAUUUAUUGGGCGUAAAGAGCUCGUAGGUGGUUUGUCGCGUUGUUCGUGAAAACUCACAGCUUAACUGUGGGCGUGCGGGCGAUACGGGCAGACUGGAGUACUGCAGGGGAGACUGGAAUUCCUGGUGUAGCGGUGGAAUGCGCAGAUAUCAGGAGGAACACCGGUGGCGAAGGCGGGUCUCUGGGCAGUAACUGACGCUGAGGAGCGAAAGCGUGGGGAGCGAACAGG